GGAUGUGAGGCGGACUGGGCAGCUAUGGGGCGACCUCGUCCUCCCACACACAUCUUCCGUGGCUGCUCAUUCUGCCAAAGAGGAUGACAGUCCCAAAUAAGAAGAAAGGCUCUCUGGUCAUGCAUAGUCAAGGAGCUAUGUUCUCCUGCUGGACCCCCAAACCACAUGUAAUUCGUGUGAGGUGUUUUGGGUAGGUAGGGGGGAGUUUUAGCUGGAAGCAAGGAAUGUCAGACUGAAAAGCAGCACUUU
ensembl:misc_RNA 7SK 7SK RNA